AGAUGUAUCGAACCAGAAGAACACACUUCGGUGAGGAGAUGCAGAAACUCCUUGACUCGUUGGAUAAGGAGAAAUCCUUGCCUCUGAGCCUCUACUGGUGGACGAAUGUAGAUGUUUCAAGUCAAAGACGACACUGUGUAGCUGUAUGUGUAACAGAGUGUAUACAUCUGACAUCUCUGGACACAGAAAAGCUGUAGCCCUCAGAGGACUUCCGCUCUUUGUCAGGGAUUAUGGAGCAGAGAAGAUCCUGAAAACAUGCUUGAACACUGAUCCAGAAGAACAACACAC